CCUACGGGAGGCAGCAGUGAGGAAUAUUGGUCAAUGGACGAGAGUCUGAACCAGCCAAGUAGCGUGAAGGAUGACUGCCCUAUGGGUUGUAAACUUCUUUUAUAUGGGAAUAAAAUGUUCCACGUGUGGGGUUUUGUAUGUACCAUAUGAAUAAGGAUCGGCUAACUCCGUGACAGAAGCGGCGGUAAUACGGAGGAUCCGAGCGUUAUCCGGAAUUACUGGGUGUAAAGGGAGCGUAGGUGGUUUGUUAAGUUGGUUGAGAAAGUUUGCGGCUCAACCGUAGAAUUGCAGUUGAAACUGGCAGUCUUGAGUACAGUAGAGGCGAGCGGAAUUCGUAGUGUAGCGGUGAAAUGCGCAGAUAUCACGAAGAACUCCGAUGGCGAAGGCAGCUCACUGGACUGCAACUGACACUGAGGCACGAAAGUGUGGGGAUCAAACAGGAUUAGAUACCCCAGUAGUC
rnacentral:rRNA from 1 species